UACGAAGGGGGCUAGCGUUGCUCGGAAUCACUGGGCGUAAAGCGCACGUAGGCGGCUUGUUAAGUCAGGGGUGAAAUCCUGGAGCUCAACUCCAGAACUGCCUUUGAUACUGGCGAGCUUGAGUUCGGGAGAGGUGAGUGGAACUGCGAGUGUAGAGGUGAAAUUCGUAGAUAUUGGCUGGAACACCGGUGGCGAAAGCGGCUCUCUGGCCCGGUUCUGACGCUGAGGCGCGAAAGCGUGGGGAGCAAACAGG
rnacentral:rRNA from 1 species